rnacentral:rRNA from 1 species
GGAAGCCCCCUUCAAAACUAGGUCUCCCUUGAGGGCCGUGGAAGACCACCACGUCGAUAGGCCGGAGAUGUACGCACAGCAAUGUGUUCAGUUGACCGGUACUAAUUGUCCGAUAGGCUUGAUUUG